rnacentral:rRNA from 1 species
UACGUAGGGAGCAAGCGUUGUUCGGAUUUACUGGGCGUAAAGGGCGCGUAGGCGGCAAUUCAAGUCACUUGUGAAAUCUCCGGGCUUAACUCGGAACGGUCAAGUGAUACUGCUUUGCUAGAGUGCGGAAGGGGCAAUCGGAAUUCUCGGUGUAGCGGUGAAAUGCGUAGAUAUCGAGAGGAACACCUGAGGUGAAGACGGGUUGCUGGGCCGACACUGACGCUGACAGCGCGAAAGCUAGGGGAGCAAACGGG